GCUAUAUAUUGCAUGGACGUUCCCAUUGAAUUUUAUAGGUUCUCUCAUAGCUUUCUAUGAAAAUACCUGCACUGUGACUAACUUUAGUCAUGCAAAAACAGGAAUCCAUUUUGUAUGAUGAUGUUCUACAGCAUCUAAUAGCUUGCACAGUUGUUUCAUUCAUGUAUUUUUUUAAGUGAGUGCUGUGUAUGAACCUGAACUGUAC